AACGAACGCUGGCGGCAUGCCUAACACAUGCAAGUCGAACGAAGGCUUCGGCCUUAGUGGCGCACGGGUGCGUAACGCGUGGGAAUCUGCCCCUUGCUUCGGAAUAACAGUUAGAAAUGACUGCUAAUACCGGAUGAUGUCGCAAGACCAAAGAUUUAUCGGCAAGGGAUGAGCCCGCGUAGGAUUAGGUAGUUGGUGGGGUAAAGGCCUACCAAGCCGACGAUCCUUAGCUGGUCUGAGAGGAUGAUCAGCCACACUGGGACUGAGACACGGCCCAGACUCCUACGGGAGGCAGCAGUGGGGAAUAUUGGACAAUGGGGGAAACCCUGAUCCAGCAAUGCCGCGUGAGUGAUGAAGGCCUUAGGGUUGUAAAGCUCUUUUACCCGGGAUGAUAAUGACAGUACCGGGAGAAUAAGCUCCGGCUAACUCCGUGCCAGCCGCCGCCGUAACAC
rnacentral:rRNA from 1 species